GACAUCCCGGAGACCCUUAGGAACUAGGGGUGCUUCCAUCUGGAAGAAUCUGGAGACAGGUGCUGCAUGGUUGUCGUCAGCUCGUGUCGUGAGAUGUUGGGUUAAGUCCCGCAACGAGCGCAACCCUUGCCUUUAGUUGCCAGCAGUUCGGCUGGGCACUCUAAAGGGACUGCCGGUGUUAAACCGGAGGAAGGUGGGGAUGACGUCAAGUCCUCAUGGCCUUUAUGACCAGGGCUACACACGUACUACAAUGGCCGAUACAAAGGGCAGCGACACUGCGAGGUGAAGCCAAUCCCGUAAAAUCGGUCUCAGUCCGGAUUGGAGUCUGCAACUCGACUCCAUGAAGUUGGAAUCGCUAGUAAUCGUGGAUCAGCAUGCCACGGUGAAUACGUUCCCGGGCCUU
rnacentral:rRNA from 1 species